ACCAGACUCCCUCGACCUCGGGAGGUAUCACAGGUCAGCAAGGCGUCCACGAACCCGCCGACCUGAUGUGAGAUCCCUCGACCAAGGCUGAGGUGCUCCGAGGUCCGACCAUAGGGUCUUAAGCCCCCUCGAUCUCAAAAAGGGCUCCAAAUCAACAGAGCCUCCCCAGAUCCUCUCAACUCCGGCAGGAGUCGCCGGGUCCAUAGGAAGCCCGAGCCCCUUUUACAAGUCAAAAAUGACUCCGGAGGUCGACGAGGAAGGGAAGCGACCUACUCCACCAUGCGAAGCAUGACCCCGAGAAUGCAAGAGGUACACCCAACUAGACGCCCUCCUUGUCGAAUUUUAUCUACAUAUUGCCGAGCGGGAUCUCGUCCAAUGUUGGAGUCUUAUUUUGCCCCAAAGCCGGGCUUCUUCGCUGGGUCGGCUUAAGACCGACCUCCCAACCUCAUUAUGCCUGCUCUGUUCGUCAAGUCUCCGCAAUCCGUACUAAAGCUUCAUAAAGUAGGGCCCAACUCGGCUCUUCUAAGUAAACUCCGACGUCCAGCUGAGAAAGUGGUCCCGGCCACGAAUGUACCAGCCAAGCACAGGUACCAAGGCGAUCUUCGGGAAUCCCAGCCUUGUUCACCGAAAUCUCGGCAGGGUCCGAGAACGAUAACUA
rnacentral:lncRNA from 1 species